GGACCUCAAAAAAAGAUUAUUGAUCAUAAUUAGAAAACUCAUUUCACCGAAUUUGACAGAAAAAUGCUUCAGCAGAAUCAACAACGGUUCAUUAAGAUUCAUACACUUUCAUCACAUAUUGGCAGCAUGGCUCAACAGAUAAUCUAUUACUGAUUAAACUUAAUCCAAUAACACAAACCCAUCAAAGUAAACCAAUCAAACUUAAAAUUUGACACGGUAAAGAAGGAAAAUAACCACUCAAAAUAAAAUGUGAAGCAGAAAAAAUCGUAAAACUACAUUCUAGUUUUGGUAAUUAAAACAUCUAGGUUAUCAACAAGUGCACAACCAUGUCAUUUACUUCCUUUGCAUGUGGCAGCAUCUGUUUAAGUUCCUCCACCUUGACGAGAAUAUCCAUG
rnacentral:lncRNA from 1 species